GUCUACGUGCACGGUGCACACAUACACGUAGCCACUGUUGUAGUGCCAGCGCAUGCAUUUCCCUUUCAGUUGGCAGUUUCUACCGUCCUCCAGACGGAGCAAGCAGGCGCGACGACCGUGCAUGCAUGCAUGCAGGGCAAGUAUAUAUUAGUAUAUUACUCUACUCAUUACAUGGACAGAGCUGUCCCCGGGCAGCACAACAAUUCGUGCGAGGGAGGCGAGCAUGCAUUUGGCACAGGAGGAGGAUCAAAAGGGAGCCAUCGAUUGCUGCUGCUCCGUCUCUCAAGUCUCACCACGCUGGCUCCUCUUUAGAGCACCCUGCACCCUGAGUCCUGACAACACAAAGCUCUUGAAAGCGAGGCACAGCACAAGCCCCGUCUGCUCUGCUCCACCACGAAAGGAUCCUCCAAGUCCAAAGCCAAAGGGGAAACAUGCGUCUGAAUCAUGCGUGUUUGUCUACACCGUUCGCUGGCCGUUGUUCAGCCUUAUGAACUUGUAUAAGUCCCCCAAACCGUUACAUAUAAAUACUAAUCACUAUUGUGUACAUACUCCCUCCAUCUCCAAAUAAAUCUGUG
rnacentral:misc_RNA from 1 species